rnacentral:rRNA from 1 species
UACGGAGGGUGCAAGCGUUAUCCGGAUUCACUGGGUUUAAAGGGUGCGUAGGUGGGUUGGUAAGUCAGUGGUGAAAUCCCCGAGCUUAACUUGGGAACUGCCAUUGAUACUAUCAGUCUUGAAUAUUGUGGAGGUCAGCGGAAUAUGUCAUGUAGCGGUGAAAUGCUUAGAUAUGACAUAGAACACCAAUUGCGAAGGCAGCUGGCUACGCAUAUAUUGACACUGAGGCACGAAAGCGUGGGGAGCGAACAGG